rnacentral:tRNA from 2 species
GCUGGUUCCGGGCGGUGGACGCCCAUCCGCCUUGACGGCGGAUCGGCUAUCGCCGACCUGCUCCGCAGGGGUUCCGUUUCCUCUCCAGUC